rnacentral:rRNA from 1 species
GACGAACGCUGGCGGCGUGCUUAACACAUGCAAGUCGAACGGAGUGGCGAACGGGUGAGUAACACGUGGGUGACCUGCCCUGCACUUCGGGAUAAGCCUGGGAAACUGGGUCUAAUACCGGAUAGUGUGGGAUGGGCCCGCGGCCUAUCAGCUUGGUGGUGGGGUAAUGGCCUACCAAGUGGGCGACGGGUAGCCGGCCUGAGAGGGUGGACGGCCACACUGGGACUGAGAGACGGCGCAGACUCCUACGUGGGGCAGUGGGGGGGAAUAUUGCACAAUGAGCGGGAGUCUGAUGCAGCGACGCCGGGUGGGGGAUGACGGCCUUCGGGUUGUAAACUCCUUUCACCAUAGACGCGGUAGAUGGAGAAGAAGCACCGGCUAACUACGUGCCAGCAGCCGCGGUAAUUC